rnacentral:lncRNA from 1 species
GAUCAGGGCAGCUUUGAUACCAUCCAUUAUAAUUUGGGGCCAAACCCAAAAAGAGAACUUGAAGAUAUUAAUUUAGAUUCUUUUGUCCUAUAUAAGUAUUUAAGAUCUUUCUAAUAAUAUAGCCGAUGUGAAGCGGACAUGAUCUUUACAAUUCGAAUUUAAAUUUUGUCCAUGAUAUCUAUACAAUCAUGACACAAGAAUCAACACUCAUCAUGCAUCA